rnacentral:tRNA from 1 species
AUUUAUGUAGUUUAAAUAAAGAAUUUUAUGUUUUCAUCAUAAGGGUUUACGUUAGUUAAUAUGUAACAUAAAUU